rnacentral:tRNA from 1 species
UUCGGUUGGCCAGGUUGUUGAAGCUACUGGCGGUAAGGUCACCGGCUUCAAGCGCGUUCGCGUUGGUGAAGCAGCUGCUGCUGCUGCAGCCGAAGC